rnacentral:lncRNA from 1 species
UAAAUUUUAAAACAAAUUUAAAGAUUAUAGGCUUCAUAUAUAGAACAUUUACCGAAAACUCACUAUUUUCGUAGGGGGGUACAUAUAGAUUUUGAGAAAAAUUCAAAAAAUUUGAGAAUACUGUUUUAAUACAUAUAUGAAUCAUGGAAUAACAUAUGAUGAAGUUCAAAGAGGUUUGAAACAUUUGUUGUUUCCGUUUCUCUAAGGAAUAGCAAUUUUAUAGUGGUUAGUCCAAUGAUUUAGGGAGUAUUUGCAGUUUUGCUAAAUUAAUGGAUAAAAAAUUAGAACGAUGUCCAUGUACCAUGAAAAGGAGUUUAUCAUAAAUUAAUACAAAUGUGUAAUGUGGUUAUAAAUUUUAAAACGAAUUAAAAGAUUAUAGGCUUCAUAUAUAGAGCAUUUACAGAAAAACUCACUAUUUUCGUAGGGGGAUACACAUAGAUUUUGAGAAAAAAUUCAAAAAAAUUGAGAAUACUGUUUUAAUACAUAUAUGAAUCAUGGAAUAACAUAUGAUGAAGUUCAAAGAGGUUUGGAACCUUUGUUGUUUUCGUUUCUCUAAGGAAUAACAAUUUUAUAGUGAUUAGUCCAAUGAUAUAAGGAGUAUUUGCAGUUUUGCUAAAUUAAUGGAUAAAAAAUUAGAACGAUG